rnacentral:rRNA from 1 species
GAUGAACGCUGGCGGCGUGCCUAAUACAUGCAAGUCGAGCGAACAGACGAGGAGCUUGCUCCUCUGACGUUAGCGGCGGACGGGUGAGUAACACGUGGAUAACCUACCUAUAAGACUGGGAUAACUUCGGGAAACCGGAGCUAAUACCGGAUAAUAUAUUGAACCGCAUGGUUCAAUAGUGAAAGACGGUUUUGCUGUCACUUAUAGAUGGAUCCGCGCCGCAUUAGCUAGUUGGUAGGGUAACGGCUUACCAAGGCGACGAUGCGUAGCCGACCUGAGAGGGUGAUCGGCCACACUGGAACUGAGACACGGUCCAGACUCCUACGGGAGGCAGCAGUAGGGAAUCUUCCGCAAUGGGCGAAAGCCUGACGGAGCAACGCUGCGUGAGUGAUGAAGGUCUUCGGAUCGUAAAACUCUGUUAUUAGGGAAGAACAAAUGUGUAAGUAACUAUGCACGUCUUGACGGUACCUAAUCAGAAAGCCACGGCUAACUACGUG